CAGGAGGGAGUCGGGCUCCAUGGCGUGUGCGCCCCCAGCCCCUGGACCCGCCUGAUUUAUGAACCGAGGCUGUCUCCAUGAGUGUCUGGGUUUCUCCUUUUGUAUUCCAUCUGGCGGCUUUUCCAACUAGAUGACUGGCCUGGCUGGAAACAUUAGAAGGGACCGAGGCAGCGAGAUGUCUAAAAUAGGAAGACGCCGGGACGAUUGGCCUGGCUGCCUGCGACGCUGGCUGUGGGGAUCUGGCCCCGCUGUGCAGAUGGAAAAGCUAAGAGACAUUUCCUGCGGUGUGGGGGAUGCAGAAAUUGACUCAUCCAUCCAUUCAGUCAGACACUAAAAAUUUUUCUGGAACAUCUACUCGGCGCCAGACACCGUGCCAGGUGCUGGGUUUGCAGUGGGGAGCAAGUGGCAGUGUCUGGUAUCUUGGAGCUCACAGGUAAACAGGGGACACAGGUUCGAGCCCUGGUCCGGGAAGAUCCCACAUGCUGCGGAGCAACUAAGCCCGUGCACCACAACUACUAAGCCUGCGUUCUAGAGCCUGCAAGCCACAACUACUGAGCCCAUGUGCCACAACUACCGAAGCCCGCACGGCUAGAGCCCAUGCACCGCAACAAAGAAAAGCCACCGCAGUGAGAAGCCCGCGCACCGCAACGAAAGAGUAGCCCCCGCUCGCCGCAACUAGAGAAAGGCUGUGCACAGCAACGAAGACCCAACACGGCCAAAAAUAAAUUUAAAAAAAAAAAAUGAGGAGGGAGAUGGGAGACAGACAGAUAAGCCAGGAGGCUGGCAGGAGGGCCCAGGCCAGGGGUGGCAGGGAGGGAAAUACCCACCUGGCCCCCUUCCCAGCGACCCACUGCUGCCCAGCUGCUCCCAGAGCAGCCAGUGGCUGCUGACGUGGUUGGCCCAGCCUGACAGAGUGGGCCCUCCUCUGUCACCCUUCACCACCCGUCCUUGGAUGACAGAUCCCAGCUCCCAGCCUCCCGCUGCCUUAAUUACAGGGAGGUCAGGCCCUACCCAGGCAGCUGCAGGCACGAGGCUCCCUGGAUCUCUGAUUCAGUGGGUGUGGAGGGCAGGCUGCAGCGGGGCGGGGGGCAUCUGGGAGUGGUGGAUCGGGCCCCUGGACCACCAGUCAACAGGUGAGUUCAGGUCCAGUUACACCACCACCACUUCCCCAGCUCUCUGGGACCCCAGGGGCUCUGGGAGUUCCAGGAUUCCAGGAGCUAUGGGGGCCCAUGUGCACACAGGCACUGUGGUCCUUUUCUAGUUAUAGUGUGAUGGGGCUCCUCUCCAGAACACAGACCAACGUGGGCUUGCGUCCACUUUGGAGCAUCCUGGCUGCUUUCUCAGGUGAGGACAGACAAGCCUGCCUGGGUCCAAAUCCCAGCUCCCCAUUUACCAGCUGGGUGACCCUUGGCAAGUGACUUUACUUCUCAGUGCCCCAGUUUCCUCAUCUGUAAUCAGAAGGAGAGUCCCUGGAGGGCUGCUGGGAGAAUUAGUGAGCUAAUAUGGGUAGAGCUUAGAACAGGGCCAGAGGAAGCGUGCCGUAAAGCUAAAAUC